rnacentral:rRNA from 1 species
UACGAAGGGGGCUAGCGUUGCUCGGAAUGACUGGGCGUAAAGGGCGCGUAGGCGGAUGGCUUUGUCGGGCGUGAAAUUCCAGGGCUUAACCUUGGGGCUGCGUUCGAGACGGGUUGUCUUGAGUGGGGAAGAGGGUCGUGGAAUUCCCAGUGUAGAGGUGAAAUUCGUAGAUAUUGGGAAGAACACCGGUGGCGAAGGCGGGUCUCUGGGCAAUAACUGACGCUGAGGAGCGAAAGCGUGGGGAGCGAACAGG